rnacentral:rRNA from 1 species
UACAGAGGGGGCAAGCGUUGUUCGGAAUUACUGGGCGUAAAGCGCGCGUAGGCGGACCUGCAAGUCGGGGGUGAAAGCCCGAGGCUCAACCUCGGAACUGCCUUCGAUACUGCGGGUCUCGAGUCCUGGAGAGGAAGGCGGAAUUCUCGGUGUAGAGGUGAAAUUCGUAGAUAUCGAGAGGAACACCGGUGGCGAAGGCGGCCUUCUGGACAGUGACUGACGCUGAGACGCGAAAGCGUGGGGAGCAAACAGG